UUCCUUGUCGGGUAAGUUCCGACCUGCACGAAUGGUGUAACCAUGGCCUCGCUGUCUCCACCCGAGACUCAGUGAAAUUGAAAUUGCAGUGAAGAUGCUGUGUACCCGCACCUAGACGGAAAGACCCCGUGAACCUUUACUACAGCUUGGCACUGAACAUUGACCCUACAUGUGUAGGAUAGGUGGGAGACUAUGAAGCAUUGUCGCUAGAUGAUGUGGAGUCUACCUUGAAAUACCACCCUUGUACGUUUGAUGUUCUAACAUUGC
rnacentral:rRNA from 1 species